GACGAACGCUGGCGGCGUGCUUAACACAUGCAAGUCGAGCGGUAAGGCCCUUUCGGGGUACGACGAGCGGCGAACGGGUGAGUAACACGUGGGUGACCUGCCCUCAGCUCUGGGAUAAGCCUGGGAAACUGGGUCUAAUACCGGAUAUGACUCCAUGACGCAUGUUGUGGGGUGGAAAGCCUUGUGCGGCUGAGGAUGGGCCCGCGGCCUAUCAGCUUGUUGGUGGGGUGAGGCCUACCAAGGCGACGACGGGUAGCCGGCCUGAGAGGGCGACCGGCCACACUGGGACUGAGACACGGCCCAGACUCCUACGGGAGGCAGCAGUGGGGAAUCUUGCGCAAUGGGCGAAAGCCUGACGCAGCGACGCCGCGUGAGGGAUGAC
rnacentral:rRNA from 1 species